AUCGAGCCCAUCGAACUGGCUGGCCGACCUCCUCUCCUGCCCCUCUCCCCUCUCCCCGAAGAAACCAUAGCCCUACCUCCCCCCCGUCCCGUCAGCUUCCUAAUGUCCACCCCAGUACCUCCCC
rnacentral:SRP_RNA from 1 species